rnacentral:rRNA from 1 species
AGUGAACGCUGGCGGUAGGCCUAACACAUGCAAGUCGAACGGCAGCACAGUAAGAGCUUGCUCUUACGGGUGGCGAGUGGCGGACGGGUGAGGAAUACAUCGGAAUUUACUUUUUCGUGGGGGAUAACGUAGGGAAACUUACGCUAAUACCGCAUACGACCUACGGGUGAAAGCAGGGGAUCUUCGGACCUUGCGCGAUUGAAUGAGCCGAUGUCGGUUUAGUUAGUUGGCGGGGUAAAGGCCCACCAAGGCGACGAUCCGUAGCUGGUCUGAGAGGAUGAUCAGCCACACUGGAACUGAGACACGGUCCAGUCUCCUACGGGAAGCAGCAGUGGGGAAUAUUGGACAAUGGGCGCAAGCCUGAUCCAGCCAUACCGCGUGGGUGAAAAAGGCCUUCAGGUUGUAAAGCCCUUUUGUUGGUAAAGAAAAGCAGCAGGUUAAUACCCCGCUGUUCUGACGGUACCCAAAGAAUAAGCACCGGCUAACUUCGUG